rnacentral:tRNA from 1 species
GGGAAUGUGGCUUAGUGGUAGAGUGCUUGCCUUGCAUACAUGAAGCCCUGGGUUCGAUUCCUCAGUACCA